rnacentral:rRNA from 1 species
UACGUAGGGUGCAAGCGUUGUCCGGAAUUAUUGGGCGUAAAGCGCGCGUAGGCGGCUUUGCAAGUCGAGUGUGAAAUCCCCAGGCUUAACCUGGGAACUGCAUUCGAGACUGCAUAGCUAGAGUAUGGGAGAGGGAAGUGGAAUUUCAGGUGUAGCGGUGAAAUGCGUAGAUAUCUGAAGGAACAUCAGUGGCGAAAGCGACUUCCUGGACCAAUACUGACGCUCAUGUGCGAAAGCGUGGGGAGCAAACAGG